rnacentral:lncRNA from 1 species
GCCCAAAAUGUCUCUUGUCUUAUGCGAUGUAUGGAUAAUUCAUAUUUGUGUGAAUUGUGAUCUAUGAACUAUGGAUAUGUUCUUAUGCGAUGUAUGUAUAAUUUAUAUUUGUGUGAAUUAUGAUCUAUGGACUAUGGAUAUAUGGUAUUGUAUUAAUAUGGUCACUAGUCACUGGUCAGUGCAUAUUUGAUAUUUGGUAUUAUAUUUUGGUCUCUGUAUUUGCGCUAUCAUAUGCGGCUUACAUGUUCCGGUUUAAAUUUUCGCUUACCGCUCGUUUCCGUCUAUUUUCGAUCGUAUUUACCCGUUUUCGUAUUACCGUUUAUCCCGCUACCGUUUUCGCUCCCGGUUAUCCGGCUUCCGCUUCCGUUUUCGUCUAAAAAUAUGAAAAUGAAAAUGAUAGAGCGAUUUUCCGUUGUUUCCGUCCGUUUUCAACAUGGGUCACAUGAUACGGUAGCAGAUCGAGGUGCAUUGCCUCGUACUCUCCAAAUACAGAUGAGACGAAUGGUCUGGCAUGUCCAGAGGUGGAUUCGGGCCCCGUGCUAACCAGGCUGUAGCUCGGAGCGAGGCCCAAAAACUGUGGGAACAAGUUUCAUAAAAACAUGAUAAAAAGGCCAGCCAGCCCAAUAGCCCACCCCGACGCUUGUUCACUUUUAAAAUUUUUUGUAAAAUAGGAAUAGUAGUACUUUCGUUUAUAUUUGAUAAAUAUUGUCUAAUUAUAGACUAACUAGGUUCAAAAGAUUUGUCUCUUCAAUACCGAUCAAACUGUGCAAUUAAUUUUAAUUUUUAUCUAUAUUUAAUACUUCAUACAUAUGUCUAAAGUUUUGAUAUAACAGAGAAUUUAUAAAAUUUUGCAAAAUUAUUCAGGAACUAAACAAGGCCCUAGAUUCGGCGAUUUCCCUCUCCUCGUGAGUCGAUGCGGAGAUCCGAACACGUGACGCAAUGGGCGAGUCCGCUGCGCCCUCCUGCAGUCCGCUCUUGGCCCCGGUGUCCCCACUCGCCCAGGCGGCCAGGCCCCACUCUGCCAGCAAGACUACACCACUACGGUUGGCAGACAGCUGGGGGCUCUUGGGUCCGGCGGUUCGGACCGAAUUGUCGGUCCGACAAUUUUCCUGCGUUUCUCGCCUGUAUUGUUUUUCACCGAGACUAGACGCGUCUAAAUUAUUAGUCUUUUAGUGUAGACUGUUUAAAUUGUUCCUUUAUUGUUUUGAUGCAUGCGGCAACGUUAACCUUGUUCGUAAUUGGCUAGAAAUUGUGGCAACACAUAAAUUAUUAGGCCCUUCGUUUAUUGGCUUUAUAGCACUUUCAUUUGUAUUUGAUAAAUAUUAUCUAAUCAUGGACUAAAUAGGCUCAAAAGAUUCGUCUCGUAAAUUAUAGAUGAACUAUGUAAUUAAUUUUUUUAUUUUUAUCUAUAUUUAAUACUUUAUGCAUCCGUCUAAAGAUUCGAUAUGAUGGAGAAUGUGAAAAUUUUUGUAAUUUUUUAGAACUAAACAAGGCCUAACCUGCACUGGUAAAGCAGGAGAACAUGGAGACAUAUGACAGCUGUCCCAUCACCAUUGACCUACUCACCCAUACAUGCUAAUAAAUCUUAUAACUAUAAAAAAAGUCAUAACUCCUGAACCAAAUAUCAAAAAUAAAUUCUGAUUACACCAUUACAUUCCUCGCAGCAAAUGCUCAAAACAAGGACUCACAUGAAUAUAUUUGAAUAAAAUUUAAUUAACGACCAUUUAUCUUAUAAAGAUAAAACAUUUUCUUUUAUUGAAUAGGUAUUCUAGUUUUAGAUUCGUAAAAUUUAUAAUAUGAUAUACACAAAAAACAAAUAAAUAAAAUGUCUUAAGUACAAAUAAUAACAUCUAGAGAAAACACAUAAGGAAAAAAGAAUAAAAACAUGUAAUGGAGAAAAAUUAAAAGAACAUCACAUGGAUACUUUUUAAAUAUCCUAAAAUAUACUACAAAACAUCACUUAUGUAGUACGUGAACAUUACUAAAUAUACCAUAGAACAUUAUUAAAUAUAUUAUAGAACAUGAACAUCACUAAAUAAUCAUAGAACACCAUAUGUGUAUUAAGUGAACAUCACAAAAAACUCCAUAGAACAUCACUAAAUACAUUAUAGAACAUCGUAUAUAUUAUGUGAACAUCACAAAAAAUAACAUAAAACAUCAUAUGUAUACUACGAGAACAUCAUAUAUUUGAAACAUUAUAUGUAUAUCACGUGAACACAAAGAAAACAUCACAGAACAUCGCAUGUACAUGAACAUAAAAAAGAACAUCACUACAUAAUCAUGAAAAACAAUGUAGAACAUCAUAAAAGAUAAUAUAAAAAAAGAAAAGGAAAAAGAAAUGAAAGAAAGGUAAAAAAAAUACAAA